GAUGAACGCUGGCGGCGUGCCUAAUACAUGCAAGUCGAGCGAACAGACGAGGCGCUUGCUCCUCUGACGUUAGCGGCGGACGGGUGAGUAACACGUGUAUAACCUACCUAUAUGACGGGGAUAACUUCGGGAAACCGGAGCAAAUACCGUAGAAUAUAUUGAACCGCAGGGGGCAAUAGUGAAAGACGGCUGUUCUGUCACGUCUCGAUGGUUCCGCGCCGCAUUGGCUAGUUGGUGAGUUAACGGCUUACCAAGGCAACGAUGCGUAGCCGACCUGAGGGGGUGUUCGCCCACCUUGGAACUUAGCCACGCUCCAUGCUCCUACGGUACGCCGCAGAAGGGAAUCUUCCGCAGUGGGCGAAAGCCUGACGCAGCAACGCCGCGUGAGUGAUGAAGGCCCUCGGAUCGUAAAACUCUGUUAUUAGGGAAGAACAAAUGUGUAAGUAACUAUGCACGUCUUGACGGUACCUAAUCAGAAAGCCCCGGCUAACUACGUG
rnacentral:rRNA from 1 species